rnacentral:rRNA from 1 species
ACUAUCAUUAACUGAAUCCAUAGGUUAAUGAGGCGAACCGGGGGAACUGAAACAUCUAAGUACCCCGAGGAAAAGAAAUCAACCGAGAUUCCCCCAGUAGCGGCGAGCGAACGGGGAGGAGCCCAGAGCCUGAAUCAGUGUGUGUGUUAGUGGAAGCGUCUGGAAAGGCGCGCGAUACAGGGUGACAGCCCCGUACACAAAAAUGCACAUAUUGUGAGCUCGAUGAGUAGGGCGGGACACGUGGUAUCCUGUCUGAAUAUGGGGGGACCAUCCUCCAAGGCUAAAUACUCCUGACUGACCGAUAGUGAACCAGUACCGUGAGGGAAAGGCGAAAAGAACCCCGGCGAGGGGAGUGAAAAAGAACCUGAAACCGUGUACGUACAAGCAGUGGGAGCCUCUUUAUGGGGUGACUGCGUACCUUUUGUAUAAUGGGUCAGCGACUUAUAUUCUGUAGCAAGGUUAACCGAAUAGGGGAGCCGAAGGGAAACCGAGUCUUAACUGGGCGUUAAGUUGCAGGGUAUAGACCCGAAACCCGGUGAUCUAGCCAUGGGCAGGUUGAAGGUUGGGUAACACUAACUGGAGGACCGAACCGACUAAUGUUGAAAAAUUAGCGGAUGACUUGUGGCUGGGGGUGAAAGGCCAAUCAAACCGGGAGAUAGCUGGUUCUCCCCGAAAGCUAUUUAGGUAGCGCCUCGUGAAUUCAUCUCCGGGGGUAGAGCACUGUUUCGGCAAGGGGGUCAUCCCGACUUACCAACCCGAUGCAAACUGCGAAUACCGGAGAAUGUUAUCACGGGAGACACACGGCGGGUGCUAACGUCCGUCGUGAAGAGGGAAACAACCCAGACCGCCAGCUAAGGUCCCAAAGUCAUGGUUAAGUGGGAAACGAUGUGGGAAGGCCCAGACAGCCAGGAUGUUGGCUUAGAAGCAGCCAUCAUUUAAAGAAAGCGUAAUAGCUCACUGGUCGAGUCGGCCUGCGCGGAAGAUGUAACGGGGCUAAACCAUGCACCGAAGCUGCGGCAGCGACACUAUGUGUUGUUGGGUAGGGGAGCGUUCUGUAAGCCUGUGAAGGUGGCCUGUGAGGGUUGCUGGAGGUAUCAGAAGUGCGAAUGCUGACAUAAGUAACGAUAAAGCGGGUGAAAAGCCCGCUCGCCGGAAGACCAAGGGUUCCUGUCCAACGUUAAUCGGGGCAGGGUGAGUCGACCCCUAAGGCGAGGCCGAAAGGCGUAGUCGAUGGGAAACAGGUUAAUAUUCCUGUACUUGGUGUUACUGCGAAGGGGGGACGGAGAAGGCUAUGUUGGCCGGGCGACGGUUGUCCCGGUUUAAGCGUGUAGGCUGGUUUUCCAGGCAAAUCCGGAAAACCAAGGCUGAGGCGUGAUGACGAGGCACUACGGUGCUGAAGCGACAAAUGCCCUGCUUCCAGGAAAAGCCUCUAAGCAUCAGGUAACAUCAAAUCGUACCCCAAACCGACACAGGUGGUCAGGUAGAGAAUACCAAGGCGCUUGAGAGAACUCGGGUGAAGGAACUAGGCAAAAUGGUGCCGUAACUUCGGGAGAAGGCACGCUGAUAUGUAGGUGAAGCGACUUGCUCGUGGAGCUGAAAUCAGUCGAAGAUACCAGCUGGCUGCAACUGUUUAUUAAAAACACAGCACUGUGCAAACACGAAAGUGGACGUAUACGGUGUGACGCCUGCCCGGUGCCGGAAGGUUAAUUGAUGGGGUUAGCGGUAACGCGAAGCUCUUGAUCGAAGCCCCGGUAAACGGCGGCCGUAACUAUAACGGUCCUAAGGUAGCGAAAUUCCUUGUCGGGUAAGUUCCGACCUGCACGAAUGGCGUAAUGAUGGCCAGGCUGUCUCCACCCGAGACUCAGUGAAAUUGAACUCGCUGUGAAGAUGCAGUGUACCCGCGGCAAGACGGAAAGACCCCGUGAACCUUUACUAUAGCUUGACACUGAACAUUGAGCCUUGAUGUGUAGGAUAGGUGGGAGGCUUUGAAGUGUGGACGCCAGUCUGCAUGGAGCCGACCUUGAAAUACCACCCUUUAAUGUUUGAUGUUCUAACGUUGGCCCGUAAUCCGGGUUGCGGACAGUGUCUGGUGGGUAGUUUGACUGGGGCGGUCUCCUCCUAAAGAGUAACGGAGGAGCACGAAGGUUGGCUAAUCCUGGUCGGACAUCAGGAGGUUAGUGCAAUGGCAUAAGCCAGCUUGACUGCGAGCGUGACGGCGCGAGCAGGUGCGAAAGCAGGUCAUAGUGAUCCGGUGGUUCUGAAUGGAAGGGCCAUCGCUCAACGGAUAAAAGGUACUCCGGGGAUAACAGGCUGAUACCGCCCAAGAGUUCAUAUCGACGGCGGUGUUUGGCACCUCGAUGUCGGCUCAUCACAUCCUGGGGCUGAAGUAGGUCCCAAGGGUAUGGCUGUUCGCCAUUUAAAGUGGUACGCGAGCUGGGUUUAGAACGUCGUGAGACAGUUCGGUCCCUAUCUGCCGUGGGCGCUGGAGAACUGAGGGGGGCUGCUCCUAGUACGAGAGGACCGGAGUGGACGCAUCACUGGUGUUCGGGUUGUCAUGCCAAUGGCACUGCCCGGUAGCUAAAUGCGGAAGAGAUAAGUGCUGAAAGCAUCUAAGCACGAAACUUGCCCCGAGAUGAGUUCUCCCUGACUCCUUGA